UGUACGAAAAGUUGCAUCCACUUCUGCAUAGGCCUCUUUAUUCAGACCAAACUCGGGCGGUAGCCCAUCCAAGUUCAAUUUUUAGUUGUGUGUGAAUAUACCUGCAGGCAAACACAUACAUAGAGACGUGAUACUAUGAGAUUACUCCCCUCCUGUAAACCACAACUAGGUAAAUACACACGUGACAUCAGUUAUAUGAUAUAUAUAUAUGUGUGUGUGUGUGUGUGUGUGUGUGUGUGUGUGUGUGUGUGUGUGUGUGUGUGUGUGUGUGUGUGUGUGUAUAUAUAUAUAUAUAUA